GUAGUCUCGCACAGAUGCAUAUCAAUAAGCGGAGGAAAAGAAACUAACAAGGAUUCCCCUAGUAACGGCGAGUGAAGCGGGAAGAGCUCAAAUUUGAAAUCUUAAAGGGUUUCCCUUUACGAAUUGUAGUUUAAAGAAGUGUUUUCUGUUGAGGUUUUGGUAAAAGUUCUUUGGAAUAGGACAUCAUAGAGGGUGAGAAUCCCGUAUUUGACCUUUACUUUCAACUUUGUGAUACACUUUCAAAGAGUCGGAUUGUUUGGGAAUGCAGUCCAAAAUGGGUGGUAAAUUUCAUCUAAAGCUAAAUAUUGGCGGAGAGACCGAUAGCGAACAAGUACCGUGAGGGAAAGAUGAAAAGAACUUUGAAAAGAGAGUUAAACAGUACGUGAAAUUGUCAAAAGGGAAGCGUUUGACACCAGUGUUGUUUUUCUGAAAAUCAAUUAAAGAACUGUUUAUGCUAAGUUGUUUAGACUUUAUCAGCUAUCUGUUUAGUUUUGAGCUUUUCUUUAAUGCACUUUUCAGUUAACAAGUCAACAUCAAUUUCUUUUGCUGUAAAAAAGCUUGAGGAAGGUGGCUUGAGAUUCGUCUUAAGUGUUUAUAGCCUCUUGCCUAUGCAGUCGGAGAGAUUGAGGUCUGCAGCGUAGAUCCUUCGGGGCUAAAUGCAUUUGUGCUAAGUUAUAGCAUUUUAUAGACAACUUGUUGACUAUGAUUUGUCUUGUAGCUUACUCGCUUAUGUUAUUUUACCUACGCUUAGAUGUUGAUCUGUAGUGCGUGCGC
rnacentral:rRNA from 1 species